rnacentral:lncRNA from 10 species
ACAGUGGGUGAGUCACAUCAGCAGCAUCAAGACAAGACAAGUUACACACAGAAAUGCUGAACAUUUUCUCAAGUAAUCCUCACCCCUGUCUCACAGAGAAGAAAUGGAGGCUCAGAGACGUUUUGAUAUGCCCAAGGACCGUGAGAAGACUGGAGCAUGGGGCUGGGGAUGCACCAGGGCUGGGAGACAGGGGCGAGCAUCCCCACAGUCAUGGAUGGCAGGGAGGCCGCGCUGCAGAGCUAUUAAAACAUGGCCUCUGACUUGGCGAUGCGGGCUCUUUUUUGGUUCCAUAUGAACUUUAAAGUAGUUUUUUCCAAUUCUGUGAAGAAAGUCAUUGGUAGCUUGAUGGGGAUAGCAUUGAAUCUAUGAAUUACCUUGGGCAGUAUGGCCAUUUUCAUGAUAUUGAUUCUUCCUACCCAUGAGCAUGCAAUGUUCUUCCAUUUGUUUGUAUCCUCUUUUAUUUCAUUGAGCAGUGGUUUGUAGUUCUCCUUGAAGAGGUCCUUCACAUCCCUUGUAAGUUGGAUUCCUAGGUAUUUGAUU